GCGUUGCUCGGAAUCACUGGGCGUAAAGCGCACGUAGGCGGCUUUUUAAGUCAGGGGUGAAAUCCUGGAGCUCAACUCCAGAACUGCCUUUGAUACUGAGAGGCUCGAGUCCGGAAGAGGUAAGUGGAACUGCGAGUGUAGAGGUGAAAUUCGUAGAUAUUCGCAAGAACACCAGUGGCGAAGGCGGCUUACUGGUCCGGUACUGACGCUGAGGUGCGAAAGCGUG
rnacentral:rRNA from 1 species